UAAGGCUACAUACUCCUGAGACACCGAUAGUGAACGAGUACCGUGAGGGAAAGGUGAAAAGAACCGGGAAUACCGGAGUGAAAAGAACCUGAAACCGUGUGCUUACAAGCAGUCAGAGGGCUUUUGUGGCCUGAUGGCGUGCCUUUUGCAUAAUGAGCCUACGAGUUACUCCUCCCCGGCAAGGUUAAGCGCUUAUAGGCGCGGAGCCGCAGCGAAAGCGAGUCUGAACAGGGCGCGCAGUCGGGGGGGGUAGACGCGAAACUUUGUGAGCUACCCAUGCGCAGGUUGAAGGUGCCGUAACAGGCACUGGAGGACCGAACCAGUUUCCGUUGAAAAGGAUUUGGAUGACGUGUGGGUAGGGGUGAAAGGCCAAUCAAACUGAGAAAUAGCUCGUACUCCCCGAAAUGUAUUGAGGUACAGCGUCGGCGUUGAGGUCGUUGGAGGUAGAGCUACCAAUAGGACUAGGGGGUGUCAGAGCCUACCGAAUCCUGAUGAACUCCGAAUGCCAACGGCUAUAGCCGGCAGUGAGGCCUGGGGUGCUAAGGUCCCCGGCCGAGAGGGAAAGAACCCAGACCAACAGCUAAGGUCCCUAAAUCUAGAUUAAGUUGAACAAAGGAGGUCCAGUUGCUUUGACAGCCAGGAGGUUGGCUUGGAAGCAGCCACCCUUGAAAGAGUGCGUAAUAGCUCACUGGUCAAGUGAUUCCGCGCCGACAAUGUAGCGGGGCUCAAGCCGUCCGCCGAAGCCAUGGCAUCUGUACAUCAACCCAAGCCGGGCCCCUUGUGGGUCCUGAGUUCAGGGGUGCAGGUGGGUAGGGGAGCGUCGUGUCACGGGUGAAGCCGCGGAGUGAUCCAGCGGUGGAUGUGACACGAGUGAGAAUGCAGGCAUGAGUAGCGAAUCACGGGUGAGAAACCCGUGCGCCGAAUGAUCAAGGGUUCCAGGGUCAAGCUAAUCUGCCCUGGGUAAGUCGGGACCUAAGGCGAGGCCGACAGGCGUAGUCGAUGGACAACGGGUUGAUAUUCCCGUACCGGCGAAGUGGCGCCCAUGACGAGCCCGGUGAUGCUAACCGCCCGAAACACUGGUGACCAAUCCCUUCGGGGUGCGGCGCUGGUGCGGAGCGCGGGACCCGAUCCGGUAGUAGUCAAGCGAUGGGGUGACACAGGAAGGUAGCCCAACCACGCCGAUGGUAGAGCGUGGGUAAGCAUGUAGGACGUGGCCUAGGCAAAUCCGGGUCGCAGCCCUUUGGUGGGUGAGUCUGAGAUGUGAUGCCGACCCCUGAUGGGGGAAGUGGGUGAUCCUAUGCUGUCGAGAAAAACCUCUAGCGAGCCACGAGCCGCCCGUACCCCAAACCGACUCAGGUGAUCAGGUAGAGAAUACCAAGGCGAUCGAGACAACCAUGGUUAAGGAACUCGGCAAAAUGCCCCCGUAACUUCGGGA
rnacentral:rRNA from 1 species